UAUGCGAAAAACAAACCUUAGCUAGCAGUAUCCUGAGUAGGGCGGGACACGAGGAAUCCUGUCUGAAUCUGGGUCGACCACGAUCCAACCCUAAAUACUAAUACCAGAUCGAUAGUGCACAAGUACCGUGAGGGAAAGGUGAAAAGAACUGAGGUGAUCAGAGUGAAAUAGAACCUGAAACCAUUUGCUUACAAUCAUUCAGAGCCCUAUGUAGCAAUACAGGGUGAUGGACUGCCUUUUGCAUAAUGAGCCUGCGAGUUGUGGUGUCUGGCAAGGUUAAGCAAACGCGAAGCCGUAGCGAAAGCGAGUCUGAAUAGGGCGCUUAGUCAGAUGCUGCAGACCCGAAACGAAGUGAUCUAUCCAUGAGCAAGUUGAAGCUAGUGUAAGAACUAGUGGAGGACUGAACCCAUAGGCGUUGAAAAGCCCCGGGAUGACUUGUGGAUAGGGGUGAAAGGCCAAUCAAACUUCGUGAUAGCUGGUUCUCUCCGAAAUAUAUUUAGGUAUAGCGUUGUGUCGUAAUAUAAGGGGGUAGAGCACUGAAUGGGCUAGGGCAUACACCAAUGUACCAAACCCUAUCAAACUCCGAAUACCUUAUAUGUAAUCACAGCAGUCAGGCGGCGAGUGAUAAAAUCCGUCGUCAAGAGGGAAACAACCCAGACUACCAGCUAAGGUCCCUAAAUCUUACUUAAGUGGAAAACGAUGUGAAGUUACUUAAACAACCAGGAGGUUGGCUUAGAAGCAGCCAUCCUUUAAAGAAAGCGUAAUAGCUCACUGGUCUAGUGAUUUUGCGCGGAAAAUAUAACGGGGCUAAAGU
rnacentral:rRNA from 1 species